ensembl:lncRNA
UCUCGUCCCCGUCGUCCAGUUAACAAACAAGGCUGUCUCCUUGACGACGAGAACACACAAGAGAACAGAGACACCUGGGAAGAAGACUGGCAGGACAGGUGAGAGAGAGAGAGAGAGGACGGGAGAGUGAGAGUGAAAGGUAUGAAUUAGAGACAGGAAGAGAGAGGGUGGUGAGUGAGUGAGUGAGUGAGUGAGUGAGUGAGUGAGUGAGUGAGUGAGUGAGAAAAAGAGAGAGGGUGAGUGAGUCAGAGACAGAGAGUGAUGGAACCAAAAUGUUCAUCCACAUGUGUGUAUCAGUGCUGUCUCAGGCCCCGUGGCAGACCCAGAGCUCCAGGAGGAGGAGGGGGGAGACUCGGGUAUGUGUGACCCAGAAGAGAUGGACCUCCUGGGGGAGAUCUUUGACACGCUGAGUGCCCGGAGCUCCCAUGACCGCGGCCUGCUCUACGGGACACGAAGUCUAGACCUGUUUGGACCUGAUACUACUGACUACAUCAGACAGAGGGGCCUGGCCACUCCCAGUCAGGAGAGUCUAGGCGUGUCCAUCGGUGGGAGUGGCAGUCUGCACAGCUGGAACCAGGAGGAGGGGCUACAUUACAUGGGGGAGGGGCCAGAACAGACAGAUGAUUCUGAUUGGCUAGGAGAGGGACAGGCGUUGUCAGAGGAAGCAUCAGAAACACCUCAAGGGAGAAGAGAGGGUGGGAGGAGAGAGGAGGAGUGGAGAGAGGAGGGAAGGAGAGAGGAGUGGAGAGAGGAGGAGUGGAGAGAGGAGGGAAGGAGAGAGGAGGGGAUGGAAAAGGGGUUGGUGGAGGCAGAGGAGCUUAAAGUGAGGAAAGAGGUGGGGAUGGAGAGAUGGAAUGUUCUGAGGCAAGGAGGGCAGGAUGAACAACGGAUGGAGGAGAGGAAGAGGGAUGAAGACAUCACUAUGGAGCCUGAGAUUCAGUCUGAAUGUAUGGGUGAGAAUGGGAAGGGGAAAGAAGUGGAGGGAGAGAAAGAGAGAGAGAAGAUGCAGAAUUACAGAGGUAAAGACCAGCAACGAGGAGAGGAGAACCAGGGGCAGGAGAGAGGCACAAAGACACCAGGAGAGUUACCCAGGAACAGAGGCCCAAGGCCGGGUACUGAGUCUAGGGCCGGAGCCGGGGCAGUGGAGGACAACCAGGGAGAAGGAGACAGACUCACCCCCAAAACCACUGAUUUUCCUGGGCCUGAGAAUGGCACAGCAACCCCUGCUUCUAAACAACCCCUGGGUCAGCUAGAAAGAGAAGAAAGUGGGGAGGAAAUAGAGGUGGGACCCACGCCCCUUUCUCCCAGUGUUUCAUCUGCUGUAGCACUGUUCCAGUCACCGGCCUCCGUGCAAACCCUCCAUGGGAAGGCCCAGACCAGGGGCUCACCUAAACCCAGUAAGCCCAGCAACACACCUCAGACCUGGGACACUAUACAGAAGAGCUGCCCUCAGGAACCCAACAACACCCAGGUCUCAAAUAAUGACAGAGUUGGACCUGUCAUAGCCACACCUGUCCUGACUACGCCUAUAAAUAACCAAUCAGAACCAGGGGGGAAGACCACAGCGCAGGAAGACCCGCCCCCUGUCAAGGUGUCUGAGCUGAAGAAGAGAUUUGAGGCUUGA